GAGGCAGGAAAGAUCUUCCCCUGCAGUCUCUGGAGGGAGUGUAGCCGUGGGACACCUUGACUUCGGACUUCUGACUGCGGGAGAACACUUCCGUCGUGUUAAGCCCACAGUUGUUUGCUGUGGCCACUCCAGGACAGUCUUACAAGUCUCAUUUCCCCUCAUCCGUACUCCAGCUCAGUUUAAUCCAGAUCAGUGGAUAAUAAACCACUACCCUGCGGGAGCACACCCCACAAAGGGUUUGGGGGCCUCCAAGAAGAAUGACACCCAGCUCCUCGACUUUAAGGAACAGACGCCUGGACUCCUGUUCUGGAAGCCGAUGGCCGCCCAUCUGUGGGAGCUUUCUCUCAGCCCACGGUUCCCUUCCCCAGGAAACAGCCAGGAGCCUCCUGGAGGCUACAGUGGACGGUGACCUGCCAGUCCCUCUGAAUGCUAGAAAUGCUGUCUCUUGGGGCUGGCCAUGCGGCUGUGGUUUUCUCAGCCAGCUGCUGCCCAGGGCUCCUUCCCUAAAACAGCCUCCAGCCCCAAGCUGUUUGGAGCUGGUCCCUUUCCCUGACUUCAGGCCCUGUGUUUCUGACACAGAAAACAAAGGGACCCCAAGCCCCUUCCGUGCAGGCCUGACGAAAUGGAAAGGUCAUCGUGGGCCCAGGGCCAUGCAAGUUUGUACACGUUGGAACCAGAUUCUGACCUGA
rnacentral:lncRNA from 1 species